UGUAUUGGACAACAUUCAGCAACAUAGUUAGAUAUAUUUACUACUAAAAUGACUGAGCUGAUCAUAUCCAAUACAAGACUUUGUUAAGAAGCAUUUAAAAUGCAAUAGAUAUAGUAAUUUUUAAGUUCAGCACUAAUAGUGUAAAAGUCAACAUACAGUUUCAAAUCUAACAAAACUUAGUUCUGUUUUAUAUACCCUCUAUACAAUUCCAAAACCUUCUUCUUGGAAAUUCAAGGCUGAGUCCAUAUUUCUUUCAAACUCUUCAUAGUUUUUUUACCUCACCAGGUAAUUCCAAUUCCAAUGGACCUGUGUUAGCAUUGGGGUAAAUGAAUGUAUUUUGAAGAAUAGUUAUACUCGAUGGAUGAAAACCCAUUGGAGAUACCGAGUGAAAAACUGUUUGAUGCGAAUCUCAACAUUAUCAAACUGAACAACAGAUAAAAAAUCAUGGAGUGUCAAAGGUGGGCAAGUACCAGCCACAAAUAAGGUUUCCAUCUUGUCUGGAUGUCUUCUGAUUACAUCAAGAAGUGGGCAUAAGCCGAUCAUCAAUUGAUCAAUUUCAGCCUUCCUGGAUAAGAUGACUCCAUGCAGACACAAGGACAUAAUAGCUUGAAAACGAUUAUCAAUAUUGACGGGAUGAGGAAAACCUGACUCAACUAACAAAGGUUGAAUUUCAGAAGCCAAGGUUUCAUUGUUUUCUUCAUCAAAAGCAUCUAGCUUUUAAAAGUAUAAGCCAAAGUUAAUUUUCAUAGUUGUAAGAGCACAAAAAAAAUUGAUUACUUUUCAUAUUUAUAUUAAAAAACCUUUCGCAUUCAUGCGUCAAACGCUAACAAAUUAAGGCACUACCUUUGUUCUUGGAGCGCUGAGCACGUUCCUCCCCCCCCCCCUCCCCACUGUCAACGCCACUGACUAGUCCAGUUAGGCAAACAAUCAUAGUUUCACCAAGCAAUAUACAUACUACACAAACAAAGAAUCAUUGUAAACCACAAUGCAUUUUCUUGGUUGAAUAAAUAGACAAACGUUGUAUUAGUUUGUAA